rnacentral:lncRNA from 1 species
AUUCAAAAAUACGGAACGCCGAUUCUGCAAAAUGAAGUUCACCUCAAGAACAUAUUCAAAGUCUAUUACCUUGAAGCCUGGUGCUGUCAGUGCAGAUGGAAUAACCUGACAGCUGGUGGUCAAGAUAUCCUGGUAUUCAUGAUGCUGGUGAAGUUGAAUAGCUGAACUGUACUUUGAUUGGUAAGAAAAUGAUGUCUCAAGACACUGCAUCUUAUCCACCAUUACUCAUUAAUUGCCUCAGAAAUUUUAGCUAAUUUUUAAAUGAAAAUAACUAAUAUAGUUUCUACAUUGUUU